CCAAUAGCGUAUAUUAAAGUUGUUGCAGUUAAAAAGCUCGUAGUUGAAUUUCGGGAUCGAAUUGUUGGUCGUGCUUCGGUACGCACUGGCAUUAUUGGUUCCUACCUUCUGAAGAACCGCGAUGUCAUUAAUUUGGUGUCGUGUGGAAUCAGGACUGUUACUUUGAAAAAAUUAGAGUGUUUAAAGCAGGCUUACGCUUGAAUACAUUAGCAUGGAAUAAUGAAAUAGGACGUUUGAUUCUAUUUUGUUGGUUUCUAGGAUCGACGUAAUGAUUAAUAGGGAUAGUUGGGGGCAUUAGUAUUCAAUUGUCAGAGGUGAAAUUCUUGGAUUUAUUGAAGACUAACUACUGCGAAAGCAUUUGCCAAGGAUGUUUUCAUUAAUCAAGAACGAAAGUUAGGGGAUCGAAGACGAUCAGAUACCGUCGUAGUCUUAACCAUAAACUAUGCCGACUAGGGAUCGGAUGAUGUUAAUUUUAUAAUGACUCAUUCGGCGCCUUACG
rnacentral:misc_RNA from 1 species